CCUACGGGGGGCAGCAGUGGGGAAUAUUGCACAAUGGGGGAAACCCUGAUGCAGCGACGCCGCGUGAGUGAAGAAGUAUUUCGGUAUGUAAAGCUCUAUCAGCAGGGAAGAUAAUGACGGUACCUGACUAAGAAGCCCCGGCUAACUACGUGCCAGCAGCCGCGGUAAUACGUAGGGGGCAAGCGUUAUCCGGAUUUACUGGGUGUAAAGGGUGCGUAGGUGGCAGGGCAAGUCAGAUGUGAAAGCCCGGGGCUCAACCCCGGUACUGCAUUUGAAACUGUCCAGCUGGAGUGCAGGAGAGGUAAGCGGAAUUCCUAGUGUAGCGGUGAAAUGCGUAGAUAUCACGCAGAACUCCGAUUGCGAAGGCAGCAUACCGGCGCCCAACUGACGCUGAAGCACGAAAGCGUGGGUAUCGAACAGGAUUAGAUACCCUAGUAGUC
rnacentral:rRNA from 1 species